GGUGAACGUAAGAGGGACCACCCUCGAGGUUCACACUUGAGGUGUUGAAUGACAGCCGUAUCGGGAAUGGUGAAAGAGGAAAUCACCCUCGAUGACCACGACCGAAUAGCUACACUACAGAAUUACCAUCAGGAGUGCGUUAUGAGGGAUCACCCUCGACACUCGAUAGUAGCUCUGCAGAGUCAAGCAACUAAAGGGGCGUGAUGUGAGGUGAGGUGUCGGGCUUUGGUCGUCGAUCAUGUCGAUCGAGGCAUCGAUGAUGAAGCAGGGGCAACAAGGAGAAGUGAGGGUCACUGAUGGAUCACUAGCCAACCUAUACUAAGCAGUUUAGGAGCAGGUAGGUAACAAUAAGCAGGUACAAAAGCAGGCUAUGCAUCAGAAUAGGAGCAAUCAAAUACAGUAGCAAAAUCUAAUGCAAGCAUGAGAGUAUAGAAUGGGCGAUAUCGGGAUGAUCAAAGGGGGGGCUUGCCUGGUUGCUCAGGCGAGAAGGAGGGGUCGUCGUCGACGUAGUCGAUCACAGGGGCAUCAGCUGCGGCCUCGGGGUCUACCGGGAAGAAGAGGGGGGAAGAAACAGUAAAUACAGAGCAAGCAAGAGCAUAACAGGACAACAGGCAGAGCUAGACGUGUUCUAACGCGGUGCUACACGAUACCGGCAAAGGGGAAUAACAUCCGGGAAAGUUUUCCCGAAGUUAGGCAUUUUCGGACAGAUGAAACGGCGGGGAAAAGUUGCAUGUUCAGGUAGUUAGGGGCACGUGGCAAACGAACAGAUCGCGUAUUUGGAUUUGUCUCGUUGUUCUGAGCAACUUUCAUGUAGAAAACUUUUUCAUCCGCGUUACAGAUUAAUUUAUAUGAUUUUCCAAAGAUUUAAACAAUAUUCUAAAAUUAUUAUUAAUUCGGGAUAAAAGGUGAAAUUGCUAUGUGCACCCGGCAGAGUGUACACAGCAGGGCCACUAGAGGCUAACAGAGGGUCCAGGGGGUCCCAGUUGACUCAGUCAACAGUGCAGUCAACAGUCAACAGUUUGACUGUUGACUGGUCAAAAUUGUAGAUGGGGCCUAGGUGUCAUUCACACAUAUCUUGCAUUUUCUUUUUAAGUGGAUAUUUAUAGGGGGGUCCACCUGUCAUUUGCACUAUACCUAACCACUUAUUAGACUAACAAGUAGGAGUACUAAUUAGCUAACGGAGAGUCGGCCGGCCACCACACACACAGAAUACACACACGCACACACAGUUCUGUUUUCUGCUAACAAAAGAUAGCAUUUUGUGAUUUUUCAUAGGAUUUAUUCCAUGCAUCAAAUGGAUUUGGUCCAGUGGACACAUUUAAGCAUUAUCAAGUGUACUUUCUACUAAUAUUAUUUUUAGCCUUGUUAACAGUUGUUUAACCAAAGUUUAGGGGCUAUUUAGGGGGUUACUCAGUGUAAAAACUAAAAAGCUAGCUAAUAGCUAUAGUUGCUAUCAUCAGUUAGCAUCAGUAGCAGUAGACGAGUAGCAAGCGGCAGCAGCAGUGGGCAACCAGAAGCGGUAGGCGCUGGUAGCAGCAGGCACGCACGCCGGCGCGUGCGCACGCGCAAGGCACGACCAGCGCGGGAAGCAGCGAGUAGCGCCGGGCGUGCAAGGAAGCGCGCGUGCCCGUAAUUGGAGGCGCGGGCGGACGAGCAAGGCUGUGGCCCGGGCGUAGUAGGGGAUCCCGGCGAGCGCGUACAGGGAAGGAACGGGCGCGCGGAGGUUCGGGCGAGUCGGUCGCAGCAUCCUACGGCGUCAAAUCGAAGAGGAGAAGGGGAGUUUGGACGUGGUGCUCACCUAGGAGCACACGGCGGCUCGGUGGGAGGUUUAGGAGCAGCAGGCGGUCAAAGUGGAGGAAGCCUGCCGUCGUAGUAGAGGAGGCAGACGGCGCGGUGGCGUUCCAAGGUGGUCGAAGGGGUCGGGGCGGUGCUGCGGGGCCGUCCCGGUCCGAUCUCGUCUACGAGGAGGAGGAAGGCGUCCGCGAUGGAGCUGUCGGACAGCUUAGAACGGAGAGGGGAGGCUGGUGGCUGCGUCCAUGGCGACGGCGAGCCCUCGGGACGGCGUCGGGGCGAGGUGGCGUCGGCGUCGAGGCGCCGCGGAUGGAGCGGAUCUGGCGAGAGGGGGGAGGAGGAACCGAGGCGGAGAGGGGGAAGUGGAGCGGGGAGACGAGGGGAAGGCGGCCUUAUCCCCUCCCCGUCGGCGUCGGCGAGACGGUCGGGGGCAACCAUGCCCCUGUUGCGACCGCGCCAGGGGAACAGGAAGGGAGGGCGACCGUGGGGGUUUGGUGGGUUUCUGGGCCUGUCCAGUGGCCAAGGCCCAGGGGAAUUAGUGGGGCUCUUUUCUUUCUCAUUUACUUUUACCCUUUUUGUUGUUUUGUUUUGAUUUUUAAUCAUUAGAGUUUUAUAAAACAUAGAAUUUUUCCUAAAUUAGUAUUUCUAUUUAUACCACUGCCACAACAGUUUUGAGGUUUAAAUAAAAUAGUUUAGCAUUUUUAUAAAUUUUAAAAGCAUUUAACUUAUUAUUUUAGCCAAUGAUUAUUUAGUUCAGUGCAAUUAAUCACUUUAUAAAAAUGUUGGGUCACCACUAUAAUUAGCUAUGGAAUAUUUUCCACACUUUGAACAUUUAUUUUGCGUGUUUGAGAAAUUUGAAUCUUGGACUUUUAUUUUAAAUUUGAAUUUGGAUUGUGACUUGGAUCAACCGAGGAUUAGCAACGGUAAUGUGAUGACAUGGCACCAUUAACAAGGGUUUACUGUAGCUUAAUUAUCCGGGCGUUACAAAUCUCCUCCACUACAAGAAAUCCCGUCCCGAGAUUUUAGGCGAUACAAGGAAACAAAGCGGGGUAUUCAUUAGGAUUACGAUCCUCGUGUUCCCUAGUGGCUUCAUCUUCAGAAUGAUUUGACCACUGAACUUUCAGAUAUUUGAUAGCCCUCUGACGGUUGCGACGUUCAGCUUGAACGAGAACGCGGAUCGGAUGCUCUCUGUAAGCGAGAUCAUCUUGUAGGGGUUAAGCUUUAUAGGCCAUGUGGUUGUUGCAAUAAGACUUGCGACCCAAGGCAUCGGCCAUGUCACUAGCCUUGCCAAGGGUAUAAGAAAUACUGUAGUCAUAGUCUGAAAUUGUUUUCUAUACAUCGUUGCUGAUGGAGAUCCAGAUCUAGCUGAGUAAACAAUUACUUCAGACUUUGAUGAUUGGUAAAGAUCUCGCAAUGAUUACCAAGAAGGAAAUGUUGCCACAACUUCAGUGCAAACUUAACUGCAACAAGUUCAAGGUCAUGGACUAGGUAGUUCUGCUGAAAAGACACCUUGGAAUUCACAAACGACUGUAGCGUUUUCAAUUCUCACAAGAGGAGAAGCGUUUACGCGUUCAAGGAAUUACUCUGUGCUUCGGCAUUACCAACAAGAUGAGCAUGGUAGCUUACAAUCUCAUUUGAUGGGUGUAGUAGAUGGACAGUCUUAGUGGCGCACAAGAUAAAAGCGGUAUGUGUUUUCAACCACUCUAUCCCCAGAAUGAGGUCGAUAUUGGACGACUUCAAAACAAUGGGGGAAACAUGAAAUUCCAACCCUUCAAAUUCAACUGGGACGUUGUGACUAACCAUGGUGGUUCGACAUUGGCCCAUGGAAUGCAGCUUGGAAUUUCGGCCAAGUGAUGACGAUUCAAACAGGUAAGGAACAAUUGUGGCUGUCCUACCAUUGAGCAUCAGAACCUUUCGGGUAAUAAGCCGUGAAGGUGACAUAGUUGGUUGGGGCUACAUCAACAGACUCUAGCUCGAAAGUGAUGUCACGUAGCCAGUCGUCAACAUCAAGUGGCUGAGUUGAGCUGCGGUAGAUCCUUGGGUUGAGAUGUGCAAAGUCGUUCAGUGUCACAAUUGCUGGCUGCGGGUUCAAGUUGGGGCAAGGAAACUGAGCUAUCACUCCUUUCAUGAACUGGCGGUUCAGCUCAAACUGUUGGAUCAUACCAGCCAUGUAUUCAGAAGGUGGUGGGGCGUUGCCACCACGACCACGACCAGCGGGUCUAACCAUCCUGCUUAAAUGCAACAGGGGGUAGUUUAGCAAAGGGAUGGAGCUAGUGUAUGGAGUCAUUCAUGAGGUAAACUGAACAGUGAGCAAGGGCACAGUAUGCACAAGGCAAUAGUCAUUGAGGACAUACCGAUACAUAUAUAGAGCUAGUUACACACUGUUCAAGUGAGUUCGGACAAGAGAAACAUCCCGGACAUACUAGGCGGCACGCGAUGGAGGGAUACAACAACGGGACAUAGCAAAGGCUACAUAAGCGUCGGAGAAAAAUCACUAGAGCGAGAGAAUUGCAAAUCAUGACGCAAGGUGCCCUCGAUAAGAGGAUCCUGCGGUUAGUGAAUAUUGUGAAGCAGAACUUGGCUCCCAAUUCAAGAAAGGUAUGAUACAAAUCUCUGGAUGGAUGUGAUCACGAAAACCUAGGGUAGAGUUAGCAAAACCAUUUAACCCGAAUAGAAGAGAGAUUAGAGUCCCAGAGUAAAGGUCGAGGAGUAAAAGAUCCUAAUAUCACCCAAUGACGACUUGGGCCCGUAAGCCACACAGCCAUGUUAGUAAAACAGUUCUUUUAAAGACUAGACUCAACUUCGGCCAAGGAGUUGGAAAGGGGGAUCCUACAGGCAGUCGGCUCUGAUACCAACUUGUGACGCUCCGAUUCAAUCGUACACUAUUCAUACACGUAAACGUGUACGAUCAAGAUCAGGGACUCAGGGGAAGAUAUCACAACACAACUCUAGACACAAAUAAAAUAAUACAAGCUUUAUAUUACAAGCCAGGGGCCUCGAGGGCUCGAAUACAAAAAGCUGGAUAGACAAGAGUCAGCGGAAGCAACAAUAUCUGAGUACAGACAUAAGUUAAACAGGGAUGCCUUAAGAAGGCUAGCACAAAAGCAACACGAUCAAAGAGGCAAGGCCUCCUGCCUGGGACCUCCUAACUACUCCUGGUCUUCGGCGGCCUCCAUGUAGUAGUAUCCAUCGGCGGUGGCAUCUGGCUCCAAGGAUCCACCAUCUGGUUGCAUCAACCGGAAAGAAGAAGGAAGGGGGAAAAGGAGGAGCAAAGCAACCGUGGGUACUCAUCCAAAGUACUCGCAAGCAUCAGAUCUAUACUAAGUGUGUAUUUGCAUCAAAUGGAAGGGUUGUAUCGAUGGACUGAACUGCAGAAUGCAAGAACAGAGGGGGAAAGCCUAGCCUAUCAAAGACUAGCAUCUUCACACAGCUCCGAGCAUCUUGCAGCAUGUAGAAGAGUAAAGAAUAGCAGUUUAUAAUUAACAAGCAUGUUGUAGCAUUAACGCCCAGAGAUCCUUCCUCGACUCCCUGCGAGAAAGCAAUCCCGGAGCCACAUAUCCAUCACAUAUCAAGUAUCCAUUUCUAGUUGUAUAAGAUCAGGAUACAAGUCUGAACGUCCAUUACCGUGGACACGGUAUUCGAAUAUAUGUCUUCCCUGCAGGGGUGCACCACAUUACCCAACACGCCCGAUCACUCUGGCCGGACACACCUUUCUAGGGUCAAUGCCCGCCCUCGGAAAAUCAACACGUCGCGGCCCUACCUAGGCUCAGCAGAGAGGUCCCCGCCGGUCUACAUCCUAAGCACUCCGGGGUCUUGGGCCCAUCGCCCGCAGCACUCCGGGUCGUUGUGUGCAGGGUGGAUACCAGCACCGCCUCGGAUGGCCAGCACGAUCCAACCGUGCCACAAUGCUGAACUGGACGCCUGACAAAGCUUCGGCUGAUACUGCGACUUCGAGGCCCAUAACUAUUCUCGCGUGGUGGUUAGUGCGUAAAGGCCAAAGGCCAACUCAAAACAAAUACCCAAACAUGUUAGUACAUUAUUAAAAGGAGUGACGGCUGUCGGGACAAGUCCGGAGCUAUCACCCCUUCCCGGGUGAUACCGCUAAACAGCCAGCCGCCACUGUCACAUCGCACGGGUGCUCUCCGGGCCCUCCCGGCUAUCACAACGGUCUCCAGUAAAGUCAAGAUAACUGUGUGUCCAGACAUCAAGGGGAAAACCCGAGGAAUCACCCCCGAAGGAUUCCACUCAAUGUAAUCAUCAAGGUGAACGUAAGAGGGACCACCCUCGAGGUUCACACUUGAGGUGUUAAAGGACAGAGCCGUAUCGGGAAUGGUGAAAGAGGAAAUCACCCUCGAUGACCACGAUCGAAUAGCUACACUACAGAAUUAUCAUCAGGAGUGCGUUAUGAGGGAUCACCCUCGACACUCGAUAGUAGCUCUGCAGAGUCGAGCAACUAAAGGGGCGUGAUGUGAGGUGAGGUGUCAGGCUCUGGUCGUCGAUCAUGUCGAUCGAGGCGUGGAUGAUGAAGCAAGGGCAACAAGGAGAAGUAGGGGUCACUGAUGGAACACUAGCCAACCUAUACUAAGCAGUUUAGGAUAAGCAGGUAGGUAACAAUAAGCAGGUACAAAAGCAAGCUAUGCAUCAGAAUAGGAGCAAUCAAAUACAGUAGCAAAAUCUAAUGCAAGCAUGAGAGUAUAGAAUGGACGAUAUCGGGAUGAUCAAAGGGGGGGGGGGCUGCCUGGUUGCUCAGGCGAGAAGGAGGGGUCGUCGUCGACGUAGUCGAUCACAGGGGCAUCAGCUGCGGCCUCGGGGU
rnacentral:lncRNA from 1 species